rnacentral:rRNA from 1 species
UGGGGAAUAUUGGGCAAUGGAGGAAACUCUGACCCAGCAACGCCGCGUGGGUGAUGAAGGCCUUCGGGUCGUAAAGCCCUGUCGGGGGGGACAAAACGUCGGUUUAACAAUCCGACCUGAUUUAACCCCCUGAGGAAGCACCGGCUAACUCUGUGCCAGCAGCCGCGGUAAUACAGAGGGUGCAAGCAUUGCUCGGAAUUAUUGGGCGUAAAGGGCGUGUAGGCGGUUCGAUAAGUCAGGUGUGAAAUCCCUGGGCUCAACCCAGGAACUGCAUUUGAUACUGUCGGACUUGAGUACGGUAGAGGAUAGUGGAAUUCCCGGUGUAGAGGUGAAAUUCGUAGAGAUCGGGAGGAACACCAGUGACGAAAGUGGCUAUCUGGGCCGUUACUGACGCUGAGACGCGAGAGCGUGGGGAGCAAACAGG